UGGUGCAAGAAAAUUGGUACCGUUAAUUUUAUUGUGCAGAGGUCGUUUGUUGGUAUUUUUCAUCGAUGUCAUCAUUUGUUUUUAAAUUUAUAACAAGUAAACUAGUGUUACUACAUAGCAAUACAUAUGCUUUUCUUACCCUAGAUAUGCCAUUCGUAGAGUUUGUGAGAUCCACCUUCAUCAAAAAACGGAAAAAUGGUACUGAUUGCAUUGUUAGACGUUUAAGAAAUGAAGUGGACAACGAAGACGUCAUAACCAAGCAUUUAAUGGAUAUAACAAUCACAGGGAAUUUUAUUCACAGGAAAGCAAAUAAAACCACAUUGCAAUACAGGUGUGAAAGAUGUAAUAAACCAAGAGGAAAAAA